rnacentral:rRNA from 1 species
UGGGGAAUAUUGGACAAUGGGCGCAAGCCUGAUCCAGCCAUGCCGCGUGAGUGAUGAAGGCCCUAGGGUUGUAAAGCUCUUUCACCGGUGAAGAUAAUGACGGUAACCGGAGAAGAAGCCCCGGCUAACUUCGUGCCAGCAGCCGCGGUAAUACGAAGGGGGCUAGCGUUGUUCGGAUUUACUGGGCGUAAAGCGCACGUAGGCGGACUUUUAAGUCAGGGGUGAAAUCCCGGGGCUCAACCCCGGAACUGCCUUUGAUACUGGAAGUCUUGAGUAUGGUAGAGGUGAGUGGAAUUCCGGGUGUAGAGGUGAAAUUCGUAGAUAUUCGGGGGAACACCAGUGGCGAAGGCGGCUCACUGGACCAUUACUGACGCUGAGGUGCGAAAGCGUGGGGAGCAAACAGG